GUGCUCACUUCAGCAGCACAUACACUAAAAUUGAACAAAACAAGAUUAGCAUAGCACCUGUGCAAGGAUGAUAUAUGAAUUCAUGAAGUGUUUUGUAUUUUU
rnacentral:snRNA from 1 species